rnacentral:rRNA from 1 species
AAAUUGAAGAGUUUGAUCAUGGCUCAGAUUGAACGCUGGCGGCAGGCCUAACACAUGCAAGUCGAACGGUAACAGGAAGCAGCUUGCUGCUUUGCUGACGAGUGGCGGACGGGUGAGUAAUGUCUGGGAAACUGCCUGAUGGAGGGGGAUAACUACUGGAAACGGUGGCUAAUACCGCAUAACGUCGCAAGACCAAAGAGGGGGGACCUUCGGGCCUCUUGCCAUCAGAUGUGCCCAGAUGGGAUUAGCUAGUUGGUGAGGUAACGGCUCACCAAGGCGACGAUCCCUAGCUGGUCUGAGAGGAUGACCAGCCACACUGGAACUGAGACACGGU